rnacentral:tRNA from 1 species
GUUUGAAUAGUUUAUAAAGAAUAAUAAUUUGUGAUGUUAUAGGUGAAUUAGUUCUUCAAAUC